rnacentral:rRNA from 1 species
AGUGAACGCUGGCGGUAGGCCUAACACAUGCAAGUCGAACGGCAGCACAGUAAGAGCUUGCUCUUACGGGUGGCGAGUGGCGGACGGGUGAGGAAUACAUCGGAAUCUACUUUUUCGUGGGGGAUAACGUAGGGAAACUUACGCUAAUACCGCAUACGACCUACGGGUGAAAGCAGGGGAUCUUCGGACCUUGCGCGAUUGAAUGAGCCGAUGUCGGAUUAGCUAGUUGGCGGGGUAAAGGCCCACCAAGGCGACGAUCCGUAGCUGGUCUGAGAGGAUGAUCCGCCACACUGGAACUUAGACACGGGCCAGACUCCUACGGGAGGCAGCAGUGGGGAAUAUUGGACAAUGGGCGGAAGCCUGAUCCAGCCAUACCGCGUGGGUGAAGAAGGCCUUCGGGUUGUAAAGCCCUUUUGUUGGGAAAGAAAAGCAGCAGGUUAAUACCCCGCUGUUCUGACGGUACCCAAAGAAUAAGCACCGGCUAACUUCGUG